CCUACGGGAGGCAGCAGUGGGGAAUAUUGGACAAUGGGCGAAAGCCUGAUCCAGCAAUGCCGCGUGAGUGAUGAAGGCCUUAGGGUCGUAAAGCUCUUUUACCCGGGAUGAUAAUGACAGUACCGGGAGAAUAAGCCCCGGCUAACUCCGUGCCAGCAGCCGCGGUAAUACGGAGGGGGCUAGCGUUGUUCGGAAUUACUGGGCGUAAAGCGUACGUAGGCGGUUAUUCAAGUCAGAGGUGAAAGCCCGGGGCUCAACCCCGGAACGGCCUUUGAAACUAGAUAGCUAGAGUCUUGGAGAGGUCAGUGGAAUUCCGAGUGUAGAGGUGAAAUUCGUAGAUAUUCGGAAGAACACCAGUGGCGAAGGCGACUGACUGGACAAGUACUGACGCUGAGGUACGAAAGCGUGGGGAGCAAACAGGAUUAGAUACCCUGGUAGUCCACGCCGUAAACGAUGAUAACUAGCUGUCCGGGUACUUGGUAUCUGGGUGGCGCAGCUACGACAUUAAGUUAUCCGUCCGUCGGGUAGGUACGGUCGUCGAGAAUUAAACUACAAUAGUAAUUAGUACGGCGUGAGACGUGCCGAACGGACGACACGAGGGAGUAGG
rnacentral:rRNA from 1 species